AAACCCGUGUAUCAGUUGUCUUGCGAUGUUGCAACCUCUCUGUUUUCUGGGAAGUUUAAAUGUGUCACCAAGAUGUUGUUUCCGGCUGAGGACAUUUGGUUGUGCCCACUGAACUUCGGUGCACACUGGAUCCUUGUGGUCGUCAAAAUCUCCUCACGAUCUGUACUGCUGUUAGACCCUUUGGAAAUGAAGGUUGUUAUGAAAGGAAAAUUAUGCGUAACUGGAGGAAUUUUCUGAAGAUGAAAGGAAAGGAAGAGUCCCGAGUGGAUUGGAAAAUGGAGACUGCCACACAACAAGCAGAUGGACUCCAGCAGUUGUGGAGUUUUAGUGUUGAAGUUUGCCGAACACUACCUUAUGAGUGGAGAGGUUACUAGGGUGCUGUCCACUCCAGAAGCCAUUGGGCCGCAACGCACAGAAAUUGCUUGCGAACUGCUAGAACAUCAAAGUAAUGCUGAUGACUACUGUGUGGUUUGUUCCAUGCUGGAAGCCGAUCCUGAGUCCAGUAUGAUUGAAAUGGUGCAGUGUGAGUUUUGUCUCAGAUGGGCACAUUUUGGAUGUGCUCAAUAUGAGAGCAGCCUGGUCAAGUACUUGUGCGACAAAUGUGCAUAAUUUGUUAUGAAUACUGUUUCUUUUCCACUUCUUUCUCCCUGUGUUCUGUAGGAUCUGUAAAUAUCAAAUAUAUAUAUCUGUAAAUAUAUGCUGUCAGUCACAGUAAAGUACGAAGAGCAGCCUGGUCAAGUACUUGUGUAAAAAAAUGUACAUAAUUUGUUAUGAAUACUGUUUCUUUUUCAGUUCUUUCUCCCUGUGUUCUGUUGGAUCUAUAAAUGUCAAAUAUAUGUAUCUGUAAAUAUAUUCAGUAAAUAUAUACUGUAACUAUAAUGGAGUGAGUUCAUUGUCAAAGUUUAUAUAGUCAGGAGUUCCAAUCACUUCAAUGGUGACAGCUGUAUAACUUAAGCACCUUGCCAUGCAGACUGCUUCUACAAACAAGUGGCAAAACAUGCUACCGUUGUUAUUAUAAACUAGAAGCAUACUCUGACGGGAAGAAUUACAUGCCAAAACAUGCUACCAUUGUUAAUAAGAGCAAGAAGCAUAAUUCUGAUGGGAAGAAUUACGUGCCAAAACAUGCUACCGUUGUUAUUAUAAACUAGAAGUAUACUCUAACGGGAAGAAUUACGUGCCAAAACAUGCUACCGUUGUUAAUAAGAGCAAGAAGCAUAAUUCUGAUGGGAAGAAUUACGUGCCAAAACAUGCUACCUUUGUUAAUAAGAGCAAGAAGCAUAAUCCUGACGGUAAGAAUUACAUGCCAAACCAUGCUACCUUUGUUAAUAAGAGCAAGAAGCAUACUCUGACGAGAAGAAUUACGUGCCAAACCAUGCUAUCUUUGUGAAUGUGACCUACAAGCACACUUUAAUGGGUAAAAAGAAGUGUCAAACCGUACUGGCUUUAUGAAUAUCAGCUACAAACAUACUCUGAUGGGCAAAGUUAAGUGGCAAA